rnacentral:tRNA from 2 species
GUAGGCGGAUAGGUAACUGGUGUGCCUCCUGGUCUUCAAAACCUGUGUUGGGCGCGUUGCGUCCUAGGUGAGUUCGAUUCUCACACGCUUACGCCA